GGUAAGUAGAUGUAUUCUGUGAACCGCAUUAAGAUUUUCACACAAAAAUAGAAAAAAACCAAUAAAUUUUUGGGGUUCCCCAUACUUCGAACUGAAACUCAAAAAAUUUUUUUUCAUCUAACCCAUACGUGUGGGGUAUCUAUGGAUAGGUCUUCAAAAAUGAUAUUGAGGUUUCUAAUAUCAUUUUUUUCUAAACUGAAUAGUUUGCGCGAGAGACACUUCCAAAGUGGUAAAAUGUGUGUCCCCCCCCCCUGUAACUUCUAAAAUAAGAGAAUGAUAAAACUAAAAAAAAUAUAUGAUGUACAUUACCAUGUAAACUUCCACCGAAAAUUGGUUUGAACGAGAUCUAGUAAGUAGUUUUUUUUUAUACAAUUAGAACUGAAACUCAAAAAAAUUUUUUUCAUCAAACCCAUACGUGUGGGGUAUCUAUGGAUAGGUCUUCAAAAAUGAUAUUGAGGUUCCUAAUAUCAUUUUUUUUCUAAACUGAAUAGUUUGCGCGAGAGACACUUCCAAAAUGGUAAAAUAUACUUCCAAAGUGGUAAAAUGUU